AAAUAUUCCCGAGGACACUUCAAGGGAACAACCCAACAGCGAUGAACAUAUAUUUCAAGCUCUGGCAGAUGUGAGAAAAUUUGCUCACAAAAGUCGUUUGCCAUGUCAGCUAGCCAUUGAAAGGGUUUUAUUUUUUCAAGAAGUAGUUGUUAUCCAUAAAAAUACAGAAAAUGUCAUAAUACAGGAGCUGACAAAAUUGGGUUUAAAGAAAUUUAUCAGGGGAGACACAUCCGAGGAUGAAGACGAG